UAGAUGACCUUUAACCUGUCAUUCCAGCCUG
rnacentral:piRNA from 1 species